GACGUAGGCUGCAAGCGUUAUCCGGAAUUAUUGGGCGUAAAGCGUUCGUAGGUGGUUUGUUAAGUUGGAUGUCAAAUCUUUGAGCUCAACUCAAAAAAGGUGUCCAAAACUAGCAGACUAGAGACAGGUAGAGGUAAGUAGAAUUCUGUAUGUAGGGGUAAUAUCCGUAGAUAUACAGAGGAAUACCAAAAGCGAAGGCAGCUUACUGGACCUGUUCUGACACUCAAGAACGAAAGCGUGGGGAGCAAACGGG
rnacentral:rRNA from 1 species